rnacentral:rRNA from 1 species
GCGAACUCCGGGCGCGCAGGCGGGGUAAUACGGGGGGGGUGAGCGUUGGUCGGAAUUACUGGGCGGAAAGCGGACGUAGGCGGCUUUGUAAGUUAGAGGUGAAAGCCCAGGGCUCAACCCUGGAAUUGCCUUUAAGACUGCAUCGCUUGAACAUCGGAGAGGUAAGUGGAAUUCCGAGUGUAGAGGUGAAAUUCGUAGAUAUUCGGAAGAACACCAGUGGCGAAGGCGACUUACUGGACGAUUGUUGACGCUGAGGUGCGAAAGCGUGGGGAGCAAACAGGAUUAGAUACCCGUGUAGUC